GAUGAACGCUGGCGGCGUGCCUAAUACAUGCAAGUCGAGCGAACAGACGAGGAGCUUGCUCCUCUGACGUUAGCGGCGGACGGGUGAGUAACACGUGGAUAACCUACCUAUAAGACUGGGAUAACUUCGGGAAACCGGAGCUAAUACCGGAUAAUAUAUUGAACCGCAUGGUUCAAUAGUGAAAGACGGUUUUGCUGUCACUUAUAGAUGGAUCCGCGCCGCAUUAGCUAGUUGGUAAGGUAACGGCUUACCAAGGCAACGAUGCGUAGCCGACCUGAGAGGGUGAUCGGCCACACUGGAACUGAGACACGGUCCAGACUCCUACGGGAGGCAGCUGUAGGGAAUCUUCCGCAAUGGGCGAAAGCCUGACGGAGCAACGCCGCGUGAGCGAUGAAGGUCUUCGGAUCGUAAAACUCUGUUAUUAGGGAAGAACAAAUGUGUAAGUAACUAUGCACGUCUUGACGGUACCUAAUCAGAAAGCCACGGCUAACUACGUG
rnacentral:rRNA from 1 species